rnacentral:rRNA from 1 species
UCAGAACGAACGCUGGCGGCGUGCUUAACACAUGCAAGUCGAACGCGAAAGGGGACUUCGGUCCUGAGUAAAGUGGCGCACGGGUGAGUAACGCGUAGAUAACCUGUCUUCAUGUCUGGAAUAAUACGCCGAAAGGGGUACUAAUACCGGAUAUUCUUGCUUUUUCAUAAGUUACGCAAGCAAAGGUGGCCUCUGCAUAUGCUACUGCAUGAAGAGGGGUCUGCGUACCAUUAGCUAGUAGGUGGGGUAAUGGCCUACCUAGGCGACGAUGGUUAGCGGGUCUGAGAGGAUGAUCCGCCACACUGGCACUGGAACACGGGCCAGACUCCUACGGGAGGCAGCAGUGAGGAAUAUUGCGCAAUGGGGGAAACCCUGACGCAGCGACGCCGCGUGAGUGAGGAAGGCCUUCGGGUCGUAAAGCUCUGUCAAGAGGAAAGAAGUGUACAAUGGCUAAUACCUGUUGUAUUUGACGGUACCUCUAAAGGAAGCACCGGCUAACUCCGUGCCAGCCGCGGC